ACGGAGUUAGCCGGUGCUUAUUCGUAAGGUACCGUCACUAUCUUCCCUUACAAAAGAGCUUUACGACCCAAAGGCCUUCUUCACUCACGCGGUAUUGCUGCGUCAGGGUUUCCCCCAUUGCGCAAAAUUCCCC
rnacentral:rRNA from 1 species